CUCCACUUGCUUUCUGCUACAGCUAGCAUAGCCUGUCAUGAAUGCUAGGGCUAGCCAGCCUUGGCAUGAUGGUGUAUGAAUAGAUUUCCUAUAAUGUUCAGCCUCACAGCCAGCUGUCACUUCUGCUGCAAACAGAGGUUCCCAUCAUCAGAGACAAAACCAAAGGAGACACGUACAGAACAACUGGACCAUGUUGUUCUGAUUUGGAGCUUGCU